rnacentral:misc_RNA from 1 species
CCGAGUUUACAACUCCCAAACCCAAUGUGAACAUACCAAUACGUUGCCUCGGCGGGACCGCCCCCGGCGCCCUCCCGGGCCCGGGACAAAGGCGCCCGCCGCAGGACCCCAAACCUCUGUUUUUGUUAAGAUUUCUCCUCUGAGUGGAUUUUACAAAUAAAUCA